rnacentral:rRNA from 1 species
GACAGAGGGUGCAAACGUUGCUCGGAAUUACUGGGCGUAAAGCGCGUGUAGGUGGCCACGCAAGUCAGGUGUGAAAGCCCUGGGCUCAACCCAGGAAGUGCACAUGAUACUACGCGGCUGGAGUACUGAAGAGGAGAGCGGAAUUCCCGGUGUAGAGGUGAAAUUCGUAGAUAUCGGGAGGAACACCAGUGGCGAAGGCGGCUCUCUGGGCAGAUACUGACACUGAGACGCGAAAGCGUGGGUAGCAAACAGG